rnacentral:rRNA from 1 species
CCCUUAGAUGUUCUGGGCUGCACGCGUGCUACACUGAAGCUAUCAACACGUUUUCCCUCCCUGAGAAGGGCGGGUAACCUUUUGAAUCAGCUUCGUGGUAGGGAUCGGGGCUUGCAAUUGUUCCCCGUGAACCAGGAAUUCCUAGUAGACGCGAGUCAUAAGCUCGCAUCGAUUAAGUCCCUACCCUUUGUACACACCGCCCGUCGCUACUACCGAUUGAACGUUUUAGUGAGGCAUUUGGACCGACGCAUCUCAGUUUAACCGCUGGUUUGUGUUGGAAAGACUUCCAAACUUGAGCGUUUAGAGGAAGUAAAAGUCGUAACA